rnacentral:rRNA from 1 species
GUGGGGAAUAUUGGACAAUGGGCGCAAGCCUGAUCCAGCAAUGCCGCGUGGGUGAAGAAGGCCUUCGGGUUGUAAAGCCCUUUUGUUGGGAAAGAAAUCCUGUCGAUUAAUACUCGGUGGGGAUGACGGUACCCAAAGAAUAAGCACCGGCUAACUUCGUGCCAGCAGCCGCGGUAAUACGAAGGGUGCAAGCGUUACUCGGAAUUACUGGGCGUAAAGCGUGCGUAGGUGGUGGUUUAAGUCUGCUGUGAAAGCCCUGGGCUCAACCUGGGAAUUGCAGUGGAUACUGGAUCACUAGAGUGUGGUAGAGGGAUGCGGAAUUUCUGGUGUAGCAGUGAAAUGCGUAGAGAUCAGAAGGAACAUCCGUGGCGAAGGCGGCAUCCUGGGCCAACACUGACACUGAGGCACGAAAGCGUGGGGAGCAAACAGGAUUAGAUACCCCGGUAGUCC